rnacentral:siRNA from 1 species
ACACUCUCAAAUCUGGUGAGUUA